UGGGAUGUAGCUCAGUGGUAGAGUACUUGCCUAACAUGCAUGAAGCCUUGGGUUCAAUCCCCAGUAAUAUAA
rnacentral:tRNA from 1 species